rnacentral:rRNA from 1 species
GACGAACGCUGGCGGCGGGCUUAACACAUGCAAGUCGAACGGAAAGGCCCUGCUUGUGUGGGGUGCUCGAGUGGCGAACGGGGGAGUAACACGUGAGUAACCUGCCCUUGACUUUGGGAUAACUUCAGGAAACUGGGGCUAAUACCGUAUAGGAGCUCCUGCUGCAUUGUGGGGGGUGGAAAGUUUAGGCGGUUGGGGAUGGACUCGCGGCUUAUCAGCUUGUUGGUGGGGUAGUGGCUUACCAAGGCUUUGACGGGUAGCCGGCAUGGGAGGGUGACCGGCCACAUUGGGCCUGCGAUACGGCCCAGACUCCUACGGGAGGCAACAGUGGGGAAUAUUGCACAAUGGGCGGAAGCGUGAUGCAGAAACGCCGCGUGCGGGAUGACGGCCUUCGGGUUGUAAACAGCUUUAGCCUGUGACGAAGCGUGAGUGACGGUAAUGGGUAAAGAAGCACCGGCUAACUACGUG